CGCCGCUGCAGUCCCAAUUCCAAUCGCCUCAUCUCGACCGGUGACAGUGGUGGCUCCGGUGCUGCCCGCUGCAUUCGCAGCGCUGGUAGCCCGGUCUCGCUCCCCUGUUGCCGGUGGUCCCCUGUUUCCCUUGUUCGCCCAAUUUCGAGCAGCCCGUCGCUUCUUCAUCUCAUCCCACCAAUCAGGAUAUCCGACGAGGUGGAAGCACUGCUCCUUGGUGUGUUUCCGGCCUCCACAGUGAGAGCACAAGAGCUUGUUCUUAUCUUCCUCGAAACGACGAUCCUCUCCACGGUGCGGAGUCUGCCCGCCUCGUCCGCCGCUGCCGCGAAUCGCCAAGCCCGCUGCAAUUCCGCCACUGUCAGCGCCGGCGGGUGUGGGUUUGAGCACGUUUUCGUUCGUCGCCUCCCUUCGGACGAUGGCGUAGGCGUUCUUCACCGACGGGAGUGGAUCCCGUUUUAGGAUGUCCUUCCUUGUUACUUCGUGGCUUUCAUUCAGAGCCAUCAAGAAUUGGUCGUAUACCUGUAGCGAAUCUCCUCCGCUGCCAUAGGUCACGGCCAGUGCCUCCCAUAGCUCCCUCGCCGUCGGAUAUUGCGAGACCUCAUUUACGAGUUCGGGUUCUAUGCUGUUAAUUAUCCACCCGAACACGCAAUGAUCCAGCGUCUGCCAUGUUUCAUGAUCUGGAUCUGUGAUUGGUGGAGGCUCUGAAUCCCGAGAGAUGUGGGAGGAUAAUCUCUUCCCACCAAUAGCUCGUUUUACGAGGGUCGCCCAGAGAGGGUUUCUACUCUUGGUUGAAAGGUCGGGAUUGGUAUGGACGGUGAUGAAAUUAUAUUCUGAGUCCAUUUUUCUCAACCUGCUCUGGUACCAUAUUGAAAUUGAUAUCCAAGAGAGAAGAGGAAGAAGACAUUGUAGGAGAAUUGUUUUCUUUUUCGUAUUUCAUCGUUUGGAGUAAGCCUCUUAAUAUAGAGGCUUACCCUAAUUUACAAAU